rnacentral:rRNA from 1 species
UACGUAGGGUGCGAGCGUGUCCGGAAUUAUUGGGCGUAAAGAGCUUGUAGGCGGUUUGUCGCGUCUGCCGUGAAAAUCCGGGGCUCAACCCCGGACUUGCGGUGGGUACGGGGCAGACUAGAGUGUGGUAGGGGAGACUGGAAUUCCUGGUGUAGCGGUGAAAUGCGUAGAUAUCUGGAGGAACACCGGUGGCGAAGGCGGCAUCCUGGACCGACACUGACGCUGAGGAGCGAAAGCCAGGGGAGCAAACGGG